rnacentral:rRNA from 1 species
UACAGAGGGUGCUAGCGUUGUUCGGAAUCAUUGGGCGUAAAGGGCGUGUAGGCGGUUUGUUAAGUCGAGGGGUGAAAUCCUGGAGCUCAACUCCAGAACUGCCUUUGAUACUGGCAAUCUUGAGUCCGGAAGAGGUGAGUGGAACUCCUAGUGUAGAGGUGGAAUUCGUAGAUAUUAGGAAGAACACCAGUGGCGAAGGCGGCUCACUGGUCCGGUACUGACGCUGAGGUGCGAAAGCGUGGGGAGCAAACAGG